CCUACGGGAGACAGCAGUGGGGAAUAUUGCACAAUGGGGGGAACCCUGAUGCAGCGACGCCGCGUGAGUGAAGAAGUAUUUCAGUAUGUAAAGCUCUAUCAGCAGGGAAGAAAAUGACGGUACCUGACUACGAAGCCCCGGCUAACUACGUGCCAGCAGCCGCGGUAAUACGUAGGGGGCAAGCGUUAUCCGGAUUUACUGGGUGUAAAGGGAGCGCAGACGGCUGUGCAAGUCUGGAGUGAAAGGCGGGGGCCCAACCCCCGGACUGCUCUUGAAACUGUAAAGCUGGAGUGCAGGAGAGGUAAGCGGAAUUCCUAGUGUAGCGGUGAAAUGCGUAGAUAUUAGGAGGAACACCAGUGGCGAAGGCGGCUUACUGGACUGCAACUGACGUUGAGGCUCGAAAGCGUGGGGAGCAAACAGGAUUAGAUACCCGGGUAGUC
rnacentral:rRNA from 1 species